rnacentral:rRNA from 1 species
AAGUUUGAUCCUGGCUCAAAUUGAACGCUGGUGGCAUGCCUUACACAUGCAAGUCGAACGGCAGCACGGGUGCUUGCACCUGGUGGCGAGUGGCGAACGGGUGAGUAAUACAUCGGAACGUACCUUAUCGUGGGGGAUAACGCAGCGAAAGCUGUGCUAAUACCGCAUACGCCCUGAGGGGGAAAGCGGGGGAUCGAAAGACCUCGCGCGAUUAGAGCGGCCGAUGCCUGAUUAGCUUGUUGGUGGGGUAAAAGCCCACCAAGGCGACGAUCAGUAGCUGGUCUGAGAGGACGAUCAGCCACACUGGGACUGAGACACGGCCCAGACUCCUACGGGAGGCAGCAGUGGGGAAUUUUGGACAAUGGGGGAAACCCUGAUCCAGCAAUGCCGCGUGAGUGAAGAAGGCCUUCGGGUUGUAAAGCUCUUUUGUCAGGGAAGAAACACCGGCUCUAACACAGUCCGGGAAUGACGGUACCUGAAGAAUAAGCACCGGCUAACUACGUGCCAGCAGCCGCGGUAAUACGUAGGGUGCAAGCGUUAAUCGGAAUUACUGGGCGUAAAGCGUGCGCAGGCGGUUAUACAAGACAGGCGUGAAAUCCCCGGGCUUAACCUGGGAAUGGCGCCUGUGACUGUAUAGCUAGAGUGUGUCAGAGGGGGGUAGAAUUCACGUGUAGA